rnacentral:lncRNA from 1 species
AAAACAAGAGCGAGAGAAAAAGAACUGAGCCUCGGAUUUUCAGGAACUGCAGUCCGAGUUCCCGGCCGAGCACCUUGGCUGCCGGGGGCCCCCCUCCUCCCUGGGGACACAGCUGUGAGCGAUCUGAGCCCGGGGACCCCAGGAGAACUGUGGGGGAGCUCCCCGCGCGGAAAUCCCCAGGGCUCGCAGGCAGGGCCCAGAGCGCGUCUCAGGUGAAAGCCGCUUCGCCCACGGGCUCCGCCGGCUGUAAGAAUCCCCGGCCCUCCCGGCCCUCCCCGGCCCUCCCAGUGACGACACCGGCCUCCCCUCCUCUGGGAGCAGGACGUGCCCAGCGCCCUCCCCACUUCCCCUCAGGAAGUCACAGGGGGCCGCAUACUUGGGGCACGUCCCUGCAUGUCCGGCUCCAAGAACAAAGCUCUAGCAAGCCAGUUAGCGAGCAGCUUCCCUGGGAGCUUCACCUCGGUCUCCUCUGAUGGCUGCCGGUCCCGGGCCAGGAGGUCCGGUGAGACGGGGGCCGCCGGCCGUCAUCCAGGAGAGUCCGUCACACUGGCCUCUUCUGUCCGCAUUCGGGGCGUCUCCGGGUACCUGCACACAGGUGACCGCGGCCACAAGGGAAUAUAGGAAAUUAGAUGACUUAAAGCCAAUGGAGCAGAGUUGGCGGCGCCCGCUCGUCGUUGUUUCCCUGGCUUGGCACAGGCGCGGGCGUCGGCCCGGUUCAGGCGACCAGCCCGCAGGACACGAUCCCUGAACACCUGUACCUAAGGGAAGUGUCCCUGCCGUCGCCUGUGUGUCGCCUUUCUUAGGGCUGAAGAGCCAGAUGCGUCCUAACAAAACUAGGAGAGAAGUCGGGUUGCUCGUGGAAAGGCGUUUCUACGUCUGCUAAUCUUCACCGUCUCCACAAUUUCUCAGAUUUUAAGGUAAGGAACCGAGUGGCUCUAGAAUCGUCGGCCUCAGAGAUGUCCCUGGGCUUUCCCCAUCAUCUUGGGACUGGCCGCUUUGCGAC